AUUGAACGCUGGCGGCAGGCCUAACACAUGCAAGUCGAACGAGUGGCGGACGGGUGAGUAAUGUAUGGGGAACUGCCCGAUGGAGGGGGAUAACUACUGGAAACGGUAGCUAAUACCGCAUACCAUCGGAUGUUCCCAGAUGGGCUUAGCUAGUAGGUGAGGUAAUGGAUAACCUAGGCGACGAUCCCUAGCUGGUCUGAGAGGAUGACCAGCCACACUGGAACUGAGACACGGUCCAGACUCCUACGGGAGGCAGCAGUGGGGAAUAUUGCACAAUGGGCGAAAGCCUGAUGCAGCCAUGCCGCGUGUAUGAAGAAGGCCUUCGGGUUGUAAAGUACUUUCAGCCGGGAGGCGUUACCGACAGAAGAAGCACCGGCUAACUCCGUGCCAGCAGCCGCGGUAAUAC
rnacentral:rRNA from 1 species